rnacentral:rRNA from 1 species
CCCUUAGAUGUUCUGGGCCGCACGCGCGCUACAAUGGCAGACUCAGCGAGUUACCUCUGUCGAAAGGCACAGGGAAUCUUUACAGUAUCUGCCGUGAUGGGGAUAGACCCUUGUAAUUUUUGGUCUUCAACGAGGAAUUCCUAGUAAACGCAAGUCAUUAACUUGCAUUGAUUACGUCCCUGCCCUUUGUACACACCGCCCGUCGCACCUACCGAUUGAAUGGUCCGGUGAAGUCCUCGGACCCAGUUGAACCUCGAGUUGAACAGGGAAAGUUGACUAAAUCUUACCAUUUAGAGGAGGGUGAAGUCGUAACA